rnacentral:rRNA from 1 species
UACAGAGGUCUCAAGCGUUGUUCGGAUUCAUUGGGCGUAAAGGGUGCGUAGGUGGCGCCGUAAGUCAGGUGUGAAAUUUCGGAGCUCAACUCCGAAACUGCAUUUGAUACUGCGGUGCUUGAGGACUGGAGAGGAGACUGGAAUUCACGGUGUAGCAGUGAAAUGCGUAGAUAUCGUGAGGAAGACCAGUGGCGAAGGCGGGUCUCUGGACAGUUCCUGACACUGAGGCACGAAGGCCAGGGGAGCAAACAGG